ensembl:lncRNA
GUUAUUCGUUCACUAAUUUAUUCCUUCAUUUAUUUAUGAUUUCUGCAGGUUUGGUCUUCCAUAAGCAUGCUGUUAAACUAACAACACACUAAAAUAUUAUUUCAAAUGCCCAGAUUACACAAAUAUUGAGUUCAGUUGUCUGUUUUUAUUUGCUUGUUGCAGUGUAUUUGAAUAUAUGCUGCAUUCACAUUUGGCAAAAUAAGGUGUCUCUUAAAAGGUCUUUGUGAUCAGAGCACAACCAUAAUACCUUACAAUGCUGUCUAGGGUUCUCGGCCCAGCUUUCAUGUGCACAGCUGCUCACCUUAUAGCCGGCAGUACACCCACGGCCCGUCUGCAGGCUCCCGCCGGACGCUCAAACACACAGGGCUGUUGGACUGAAUGCAGUGAUCUGCUGGCGUUUGACAGCUGGAGGGAGUGUCGAGGGCAGUCAAACUCUCCGCACAUGAUGACCUCCCGUCAUCCAGGAACCUUUCGCUACAGCCUUUUUCUCCGUUUGAGGGACGUUGACCCCCGGGGGACUUCGAGGUCAAGAGAUUCCUAUGAACACGUUCCUCCCAAACCUUCAUGAGAAACAUCUGUAACCUCCAUUCUCCUGUGAUUUGUGUUUAAUAAGUGAUUUCCUGAUGUGCAUCCUCGUGUCCCGAGCUGAACAUGAUGCCUAAACAUGGCUCGUGUAAGGUGUUUGAUUCCCGUCCUUCAUUGUGUUGAGUCUGACAGAAGGGCGUCUGCUCCUCAGUGUAAUGUGUGUGUUUGGCUUACAAAAGACGUCUGAAUGCCAAGUGUUGUCUGGGCCGUCCAGCCUCUCACUCUUCCUCAGUAUCUCUCUCUCGUUCUCUCUAUCUUUGUCUCUCACACACAUUCUGCUCUAAUCUUUGUGCUGCUCUGAAGAGGCUUAGAGAGUAGCUUUGUCCGAAUGCCACCACAGUACAGUCCACUCUUCAACUAUCUGGCCUUCUUUCUUUGGCUGGUUUCUUUCUUUCAUCCUGUUUUCCCUUUUUUCUAACAUCCUUUUUUUUUUUUUGGUUAAAUAUUACCACUCGCCAAGCACCAAUUGGGAAUAAAAAUUGGCUUUGGCAAGUAAAUAAAACAGACUUAUUAGCAGCUGCAACAUGGGUUUUGUUAAACUGUAAAACUGAUCAUUUGACCUAAAGAAAACACCUGACACAAUUUAGUAACUUCCAAUGAUUUUGUUACAUCAUCUGAAAAUUUAGCAUCAGAUUUUUGUCGUGCAUUUUUUUUCCCCCGAGAACCUCCUCACUGUCAAAAUAAAC